CGGAGGAUCCAGUGACUUCCUGCACCAACUGCACCACCUAGGAACCUGAGGAGGAAGCUACAGUAGGUGCCAUCUGGGUCUGCUCUUGGAGAAAAGGAGAAUAUUUCAAAACCUAAAUGUUUGCAGAUUUAACAUGGAAAGUACAUCCAGGACACACUGGAGCAGGACAUCACACUGCCUGAUGGAGAAGGAUCCCACAUCUCUCUCACUUUCCACAGGGAGCUCAUUUUGGAGCCACUUACCCUUUCCUCAGAGGAGGUUCAUGGCAGGACUGGAAGAAGAAGCUAUCUGAAGACAGUGAUUCUUUUAUCUUUUAUGAAAACAUAAUUCAUGGAUGGUUGGAACUGCUUGUACCUCACAGGAAGAUGAGGACCUCUGAAGUUAAAGAAGGGUAGAAAAAGGAUAGAUAGGGAGCAUGGGUGAGGUAUAAAAGUUCUUCCAAGUGUAGAGACCAGACCACUACUCCAUAUCUAUACUUGGGUUUGCUCUGUAGAUGUCCCAUUAAGGCUAGACCUCCCCUUAUGACAGAUUUUUUUUUUUAGUUUGAAUCAGGAGAUCCACAGAGGAGGAAGAGAUUUUCAGAUUUUCCCUAAUCACAAUACACCUUGCAUUCUCAGCAGAUGUGGCAUCAUAAAGAAGGGUCUCAAAACAGGUCCUUCAGGGCAAAAUUGUCAUAGAUAUUUCAAUAGUCUGGGAACCUCCAAAGGACUAUAGUAUAUAUACAGAUAUAGACAACAUCUAUAAUAUUAAAAUGUUCACAUUCCACUGUUAAGUGGUGAUCAGUAGAUAAAAAAUGUCUAAAAUAAUUCCUUGGGGGGAAGGUAAUAAUGAAAUAUGGUUUGAAAAAAACUAUACACAGUCACCUCUCUUGCUUACUCAGCAACCUCUUUUGUUGGUAGUGGUAGUAGGAGUGGUGAUGUUGUUGAUAAUAAAGUAAUAGAAAUUAAAUUCUGCCUCUUUGGGUUAAGAGGCUUGGCUAUGUGUUUAUGUGUAUUGAAUUGCAUUUUUAAGGCAAUACACAGAAAUUAAUUAGAAAAGCAGGUAUUUCCUAUGAAGAAAACUUAAAAUUAUUUUUUCUCAAACAUGUAGUCUGCAUGACCAAAGAAACUGAAUCAUAAAGCAAGAAACAUAAAGGGAAUUAAUAAAAUGAAGUUUCAAUUUACAUAUUUAAAUGAAGUGGAUGGUGCCUAUAUGCCAACACUAUGUUGGAGUGUUGACCCUAUAUUUUCUCCUAGAACUUCCAAUGUUUCUGGUCUAAUUUCUAGGUCUUUAGUCCACUUUAAAUUAACUUUUAGGAAAAGUAAGAUAGGGAUAUAGUUUCAUUCUUCUACAUAUGGAUACACAGUUUCCCCAGCACCAUUUGUUUAAAAUGCUAUCUUUUCUCCAACAUAUGUUUUUUGGCAAAUUUGUUAAGGAUCAGAUGACUGUAUGUUUAUUUUUCUCUGUGGUUUCUAUUAUAUUCCAUCAGUAUUCAUUUCUGUUUUUAUACCAAUAACAUACUGUUUUUGUUAGUAUAGCUCUAUAGUGCAAUUUGAAUGAUUUAUUGUGAGGCCACCAAUAUCACUUUUGUUUCUCAGUAUCAUUUUGACUAUUUUGGGUCUUUUGUUAUUACAUAUGAGUUUUAGAUCUGUUUUUGCUCCUCAAACUGAAAAUGUAAACCAAGAAUUGAUCAAUGGAAUCACCUCAAAUUGAAUAUCUGCACAGUGAAAAAAGAGCAUGCAUGACAAUGUAUAAUGAUGGGGUGUGGUGGGGGAAGAGAAGAAUGAAGGAACUUUGAAUGGUUAGAGGAA